GAGGGUAGAGCUCAGUGGUAGAGCAUGUACUUAGCAUGCACCAGGUCCUGGGUUCGAUCCCCAGGACCGCCA
rnacentral:tRNA from 1 species